rnacentral:lncRNA from 1 species
AUGUGCCUUACGUUACGUGCCCUGCCCUCUCCCUUAAGAUUCGUUCUUUUACCACUGCUUGUGAACGGUCACUGUAUAUAGUUGGGAAACGCUCGAGUCGAGUUGCACGUACUGAACGUACUAGCACAGCACGUAUGUACGCUGCUGUCGAUAUAGUGAUUCAGACGAUUUCUUCCAUGGCAUGGAUGGACUGGAUUCGGUCCUUAUUACUUGGGGAAACAUUGUGACUGAAGUCCACAGAUUAGAGCACGGCAGAUCUCUGCCUAUCUGUGCAAACUGCAAAGUAGGAUGAGGUGAUAAGGUUGUAAAAUUCGGAAAACAAGCUUCAACUGAACCUCGGUUGCCUGAUGAGCCGCCGGUUCUCUAUAUCGCACGGUCAGAAACCAGAAACACAACACCAAAGAAAGUGUCCAAAAUAUUUUAGAACAGUGAUGAAAAAAAAAAAGAAGUUCCGAGGAUAUUCGAAUGGUCUGCGUUGAUAUGCAUGUUACGUUGUUUACCGGUAGUACAAAUCUUACAAGAGUAGCUGUUGGUGUAAAAAAAUGGUUUAUUCGAAUUCAGUAAGCAAUGAGGUCCCUCUAAGCUUUUCAACUAACUUGAGGGGUAUUGGGACACAUAAAAAGUUCAUGGUAAAUACAGACAAUUCCCUUGAAAUAAAGCAAAAACAAACGAUAGAUUUCCCCCCAUAUGUAUUACUGAAGAACACUGUGCUUUGGUCAAUACUUAUUGAAGGCCCGAUCCUGCUGGAGGACUACCACCUGGUGGAGAAGAUCGCCAACUUCGACCGUGAGCGCAUCCCGGAGCGUGUCGUCCACGCCCGUGGCGCGAGCGCCAAGGGCUUCUUCGAGGUGACCCACGACAUCUCCCACCUGACCUGCGCCGACUUCCUCCGCGCCCCGGGCGUCCAAACCCCGGUCAUCGUACGCUUCUCCACCGUCAUCCACGAGCGCGGCUCGCCCGAGACGCUCCGUGACCCUCGCGGGUUCGCCAUCAAGUUCUACACCCGGG